GGAGCCGUGGUCGAGCGGUGAGGCGGGAGUCUGCAAAACUCUUCACGGCGGUUCAAAUCCGCCCGGCUCCU
rnacentral:tRNA from 1 species